rnacentral:siRNA from 1 species
ACCAAGCAGGUAUACAGUGUGA